UGGGGAAUAUUGGACAAUGGGCGAAAGCCUGAUCCAGCCAUGCCGCGUGUGUGAAGAAGGUCUUCGGAUUGUAAAGCACUUUAAGUUGGGAGGAAGGGCAGUAAGCGAAUACCUUGCUGUUUUGACGUUACCGACAGAAUAAGCACCGGCUAACUCUGUGCCAGCAGCCGCGGUAAUACAGAGGGUGCAAGCGUUAAUCGGAAUUACUGGGCGUAAAGCGCGCGUAGGUGGUUCGUUAAGUUGAAAGUGAAAGCCUCGGGCUCAACCUGGGAACUGCAUCCAAAACUGGCGAGCUAGAGUAGGGCAGAGGGUGGUGGAAGUUCCUGUGUAGCGGUGAAAUGCGUAGAUAUAGGAAGGAACACCAGUGGCGAAGGCGACCACCUGGGCUCAUACUGACACUGAGGUGCGAAAGCGUGGGGAGCAAACAGG
rnacentral:rRNA from 1 species